UGACCUGGGCGCCACACAGCUCUGAGUGGAAGUUGUGGGGAACUCACACUUCAGAAGCCGAGUUGCCUAGUCCCCAAAAGAGCAGGUGACCAGCUCUGUUUUGCUUUUCACUGGACACCGGAGUUAUGGGGAAGCUUCCUUCAGCCUCAGUGUCCUGGGGAAGGGAGGCUGUGUCUACCUGGCCAGGAGGGGAGAGGGACAGGACCUUCGCACUCAGUAGUGCUCACCUGCCCUCUUCCCAGCAACAAACCAGGACCAUGAGUCCUGGGGAGGGCUCCAGGUGGUGCAUUCACAGGGUUACACACCCCCCUCUCCCUUAUCUAGGGCAGCUCCAGAGAAUAAAACUAGUACACGGGGAGGAACAGAGGAGAGAAUGUCCUGGCUGUGUUCCAGGCCUGGGUCCUUCUGGUCCAACCUCAGACCUAUCUGCCAUGCAGCCUGUGACAUCCUGUGACCACCCUGCCAUUAGAUCACCCUUUUUAUUUAAAGCAUCUUAAACUGGAUUUCUGUUAUACACACACACACACACACACACACACACACGCACACACACUCUCCACCCUGGAAUCCCCAAACUUGUCACCUUUUCUCAACUCCUUGGGAAUCUAAGGCAUGAAGAGGCCUGUCUCUGACUUCUGGGUGAGUAGCAUUCUCCAUGGCUCCCCCUCUUCUGGGGACUGCAGGAGUUGAGGGGUUUGAAGGAGGACCAGUGGGGAGACAUGCAUGGGUUCCUGACUCUCAGAGGCCAGUGAGAGGACAACACACACAAGGCUGUGGUCUAGUGAAGCCACCUCCAAAAGGGACCUAAAACUACACAGCCUGGGGACCAAAGCUUAGGCACCAGCUGUGCUCAUUGACAGCCCUGACUGCCCAGCCCAGACAGCAUGCUGGGGCCUCCCCACAUCUUUCCACCUCUGUCCUCCCUUCAGAAGCAUCCAGGUUCCCUGCACUCCCCAGCUGCCUGUGCAAGUGGCCUUUGCCUGCUUUUUUGUUCUGCCUCAGCAAGGACAUCAGGCAAGUAC
rnacentral:lncRNA from 1 species